GUUAUGCGGUAUAAUACAACGUAGGUCGACGAAAAAAGCGUCAAGUAAAAACGCAUUAUUAGAUAUAGCUCGGAAAGUAGUUGUUAGAUCUCAAAUAAAUUUAAAUGGGACCAAUUGGCACACACCACCUUUCGAUUAAAAGAAAAUUUGUCGAAAUCGCUCCACCCAGUCAAAAGUUCUGAUGUAACAUACAUUAAAAAAAAAAAAAAAUACAGUCGAAUUGAGAACCUCCUCCUUUUUUGGAAGUCGGUUAAAAACAAA
rnacentral:misc_RNA from 1 species